GUCAGGUAGUCCAUGAUUCACGCCCUCAGGUGUGAGCUCAUGUCCAUCAGCAACACUUUGUCUCUCAGGAGCAUAGGCUGAAUGGUGUUAAAGGUGCUGGAGAAAUCCAGGAAAGUAAUCCUCACAGCUCCUUUUCCCUUGUCCAGGUGAGAGAGUAAGCAAUAGAGCAUGUAGGCAACAGCUUCCUCCACCCCACCUUCUCCUGAUACGCAAAUUGUAGACGGUCGAGAGCAUGCCGAACCUGAGGCCUGAGGUAGUGAAGCAGCAAUUGCUCCAGAGUCUUCAUCACAUUAAUUCAGCUGGUGAGCCCUCUCCACACCGCCACUAACGGUGACACCUUGCUUUGGGCUGCAGCCAGUGAUCAACCUCAUCCCGUCCCACACCUCCUUCAUGCUGUUCCACUGCAGCUUCUCCUCCAACUUAAACUUCUUCCUAUAAAGUAAUCUCGCCACCUUGAGCUGGGCCCUGAGCUCCCUCUGCACUUGCUUGAGCUCCUGCUUAUCAUCGUCUUUGAAGACCCGCUUCUUGCGAUUCAGGAGGCCCUUGAUCCCAUUCGUAAUCCAAGGAUUGUUGUUGGCAUAGCAGUGCACUGUCCUUACUAGAACCACAACACCCAUGCAGAACCUAAUGUACUCAGUGGUCC